rnacentral:lncRNA from 1 species
GGAACCAGCUAAGGAUGGCUCACCAUCCCUGAAUUAUACACUUCCCUGGAACACAGACGUUGCCAUAAGAUGUAAUUGGUCCUGAAAGUGGCAGAGGAGCCUGAGACAAGUGACUUACGUGUCAAGGGGCAGAGCUAGAAGCAGGACUUGACUUCCUGACUUGAAUAACUGUUCUAAGGCAGCUGCCUAGCAACCACGGCCCCCGUUCAGGAGCAGCUAUCGUGUGAGGAGGCUGGUGCCUGGCUCCCCCACUACGCCACGAACUUCUCAAGGGCAGGACCUGGCUCCUGGUCCUCUGUUUCCCCCCAAGGCCUCACGUGGCACUGGGCCUGCAGAAGACAGAUGCUCAAUAAGGAGCCUGCGUUACAGCUUCCACGGAUGAAGCCGAGCCUGUCUAUGGCUGCUUCGGAUGCAGACUCUGAAGCCAAAGAGGAUUGCAAACAUCCUGGCAUCUGUCCGAAAAGCCUAGUCUAGGGGCACAGAAGGACUUAACUCAGAGCAGAAGAGUUUCAGAGUCUUUGCUAACAGGAGAUUGAGCUGUGAGCUCAGGGCGUUCACCUUAGACGGCUUCUCCCUCUCAGUGUGUACGUUAUUACUUCUGGCAAAUCAUGAAAAACAUGACCUCACAAAGAAACCAGUGAGAGCCAUCAUCUUGAUUCAUCUCUCUCCUUUUCAAUGGGAAAAAACUGGCCUGUGCCUCGAACUUUGCUCAGCAGGAAAUGUUUAUAGAAAUUAGUCGUCAAUCGAGGACUUGUGCAUGUGUGUGCUCUUUGUUUAGAGAAACUCACCAACGCCCUGGACUCACCUCUGGAGGCUCCCGG